ACUGAGCAGAGAGGAUCGGUUCUCUGUGUGCGCACUGCUGAGAAACACAAGCUCAUUUCUGCUGUUUCAUGAAAAGUGUUAUGGAGGAACAAGAAGUUCAGCCUCUAAACUCUCAGCGUGAGGACUGAGUGAAGAGUUUCAGAGCAGAGAGUUUUGGCUCACAGCUUUUAGCGUCUACACAAAGAGACGAUUACGCACUUGAUCUGAGAACAUCUCCACCUCCUACAAACAAACUCUCCUACGAGCAGCUGUCACAACCACAACAGGCAGAAGACUGGAUCCUGCUGCAGGUUAAUGAUUGAUCUAAAGGCAGCUGACCUUUGAGCAGGAACUUGUGAGUCUUUUAUUGUGUUUAAUGCUCACAGUGCUGAAGCCUGCAGACACACCCACAUCAUAUUAUUUGUUCUCAGGGUUGUUCGGCGUGGUGGAGUGGGAACAGAAACUUUCUGCAGGUUAAUUAUUGAUCAAACUAAAGUCAUAUUAAGGAGCUACUGGCACGGAGUCAGAGCAGAGCUCAGAAAUCUGAAAUAUAUCAAAGUAUAUUAAAGUUAGAGUUUAGAGAACACUGUUUGGUUAGCUGCCUCAAAGGCAGAUGACUCUCAAUAUCACAAGAUCAGGUGAAAUUUCAGACCAAGGGAAAAUCACUGGGAUUAUCUGUGAAGAGGCAGAAAAGCAUAGACCUCGUCUACCUUAUAGACAUUUUGAAAAGAGACGCCUACAGGCUAUCUACUGUUCAAAAGUGAAUUGUUAUACACAGUGCAGCAGCUGACCGUUGACCUGUGAGCUUCAGCCUCUUUGCUGGUGUGAAGUGUUUAAUGUGACGCAGUCUGCAGACACAGACGACUGCUGACGGAGAAGAAGCAGAGGAUUUUCUCUGUUUCUACACAGACCUGGUCCAGACAGCAGAGAGCUGCAGAGUGAAGACGUUCAUUGGAAGAAGCUGAGUAGAAAGUGUGUGUGAGCUGAAUUGAGCAGCAUGGAUCAGU